CCUAAACAAACACAAAUGUGGAGACUGACACCUUCAUUCAUUACCCAUAGGGAAUGAUGGGUACCUGAAUUUUGAAAAUUAACAAAAUUUUCAGAUGAAAUUUGGUUACUCUGAAUCAAUAUAUCCGAAUUUCAGACUUACUGAAAUUUGAAAAUGAAUGAAUGGAAACAAAAAUUGCCCCCGUGUACAUCUCUAUCAGAAACAUAUUUUUGUGAAACAUUGAAGGUAUGAGAGGCAAACAUAUUAUGCACCUUCUAAUGAGAAACAUGAUGAUGAGGACUGGACAUAGAGUUGCAGAAUUCUGAUGAUCUCCUCAGUCAGCCUAUGAUUUCAACGGUGCAGCUAGCCCCUCGCUGCCACGGACCCUCAGCAGCACUGUAUUUGCCGCAAGGCAAACAAGGCAUUUGUCACUAUGUGUGUCUGUCUGUCAGUGAGUCUGUGUGUGUAACUCUGUCAGUGUUUGUAUGUGUUUGUGUGUGUAUGU